rnacentral:rRNA from 1 species
AUUGAACGCUGGCGGCAUGCCCUACACAUGCAAGUCGAACGGUAACGGGCCUUCGGGUGCCGACGAGUGGCGAACGGGUGAGUAAUACAUCGGAACGUGCCCGAUCGUGGGGGAUAACGAGGCGAAAGCUUUGCUAAUACCGCAUACGAUCUACGGAUGAAAGCAGGGGACCGCAAGGCCUUGCGCGGACGGAGCGGCCGAUGGCAGAUUAGGUAGUUGGUGGGAUAAAAGCUUACCAAGCCGACGAUCUGUAGCUGGUCUGAGAGGAUGAUCAGCCACACUGGGACUGAGACACGGCCCAGACUCCUACGGGAGGCAGCAGUGGAGAAUUUUGGACAAUGGGCGCAAGCCUGAUCCAGCCAUGCCGCGUGCAGGAUGAAGGCCUUCGGGUUGUAAACUGCUUUUGUACGGAACGAAAAGCCUUCUUUUAAUACAGGAGGGUCAUGACGGUACCGUAAGAAUAAGCACCGGCUAACUACGUG